UACGUAGGGUGCAAGCAUUAAUCGGAAUUAUUGGGCGUAAAGGGCGUGUAGGCGGAAUCGUAAGUCAGAUGUGAAAUUUCGGGGCUCAACCUCGAAGCUGCAUUUGAAACUGUGAAUCUUGAGGGUUGACGGAGAAAACGGAAUUCCACGUGUAGCGGUGAAAUGCGUAGAUAUGUGGAAGAACACCUGUGGCGAAAGCGGUUUUCUAGUUAAUACCUGACGCUGAGGCGCGAGAGCAAGGGGAGCAAACAGG
rnacentral:rRNA from 1 species